rnacentral:rRNA from 1 species
UACGGGGGGAGCAAGCGUUGUUCGGAUUUACUGGGCGUAAAGGGCGCGUAGGCGGUCGUGACAAGUCACUUGUGAAAUCUCCGGGCUUAACUCGGAACGGUCAAGUGAUACUGUCGGGCUAGAGUGCAGAAGGGGCAACUGGAAUUCUCGGUGUAGCGGUGAAAUGCGUAGAUAUCGAGAGGAACACCUGCGGCGAAGGCGGGUUGCUGGGCUGACACUGACGCUGAGGCGCGAAAGCGUAGGGGAGCGAACGGG